rnacentral:tRNA from 1 species
GCUGAGGUAGCUCAACUGGCAGAGCAGCUGAUUUGUAAUCAGCAGGUUGGGUGUUCGAUUCACCUCCUCAGCUCCA